GACGAACGCUGGCGGCGUGCUUAACACAUGCAAGUCGAACGGAAAGGCCCUGCUUUUGUGGGGUGCUCGAGUGGCGAACGGGUGAGUAACACGUGAGUAACCUGCCCUUGACUUUGGGAUAACUUCAGGAAACUGGGGCUAAUACCGGAUAGGAGCUCCUGCUGCAUGGUGGGGGUUGGAAAGUUUCGGCGGUUGGGGAUGGACUCGCGGCUUAUCAGCUUGUUGGUGGGGUAGUGGCUUACCAAGGCUUUGACGGGUAGCCGGCCUGAGAGGGUGACCGGCCACAUUGGGACUGAGAUACGGCCCAGACUCCUACGGGAGGGAGCAGGGGGGAAUAUUGCACAAUGGGCGGAAGCCUGAUGCAGCAACGCCGCGGGCGGGAUGACGGCCUUCGGGUUGUAAACCGCUUUCGCCUGUGACGAAGCGUGAGUGACGGUAAUGGGUAAAGAAGCACCGGCUAACUACGUG
rnacentral:rRNA from 1 species